CCCGGGCCAUUCUUUUAAAGCCCAGGCAGAGCGCGGGUGGGAAGCGUGCGAGGAGAGCUGAGCCAGGGAGUUGCGGGGAGGAGAAGAAUUAGAGGAGACAGCACUGAUGGGAGUGACAGAAGCGGUGCCGGUUAACUCCCCACCAUCAAAAGUAUCUUCUGCUGUAGUCUGGCACAAGGAGUGAAAGGUUAAUAGCCAAGAAAGAAAGAAGGAAGAAGAAAACAGCUCCCCGUACAGAGACAGAGGAAGGGGGGAUUUGAACAAAGAAAAAACCCCGUGUGCGUCGGAAAAGUGGCUGCUUAUACGUAUCCCAAAUCUAAAGGAAGUUUUUUUUUUUUUUGAGACGGAGUCUCGCUCUGUCCCCCAGGCCGGAGUGCAGUGGCGCAAUCUCUGCUCACUGCAAGCUCCGCCUUCCGGGUUCACGGCAUUCUCCUGCCUCAGCCUCCCGAAUAGCUGGGACCACAGGCACCCGCCACCACGCCCGGCUAAUUUUUUGUAUUUUUAGUAAAGACGGGGUUUCACCGUGUUAGCCAGGAUGGUCUUGAUCUCCUGACCUCGUGAUCCACCCACCUCGGCCUCCCAAAGUGCUGGGAUUACAGGCGUAAGCCACUGCACCCAGCCAAUCUAAAGGAAGUUUUAAAAGGUUACUUCCUUUUGAUUUCUGUUAAGAAAAGGGAGUGUUUAUGUGUUUGUUUCCAAAUAUUAUUUCUCAGCUGAAAAUCCAUUUUUUAAAACACUACCUUAAAAGUUCUUCUACCACUCCUGUGGAAAUAUAUGAGCCCAUCUUCAAGAAAUAACAGUUUGAAAUGUGAAAACUUAAGCUUUCCUUUAAGAAAGAGGAAUAUGAACUAGAACGGCAA
rnacentral:lncRNA from 1 species